GCCAGGGUGUAGCUCAGUGGUAGAGUGCUUGCCUAGCAUGUGUGAGGCACUGGGUUCAAUCCUCAGCACUGCA
rnacentral:tRNA from 1 species